rnacentral:lncRNA from 1 species
AUGACAUGUCUGUCACAUUUGUUUGUCCCCAGCUGGUGCUACGGUAGGUGAUAUAAAAAGAAGUAUGAAUAAUUUAGUUGAAAAAGCAGCUCCCUCGCCAUCAAAGGACAUCACCCUGGUGACAGAGGAUGUCGCAUGGCCUUGGAUAACGGAUUAGAAUCAAAGACAUCAUAAAAAGGAUACAUUUGGCGAAGACGACCGUGGUGGUUUGGAUGCCUUUCGUUCUUUGUGAAAAGGGACAUAUGGAACUUUCCAAAGAGAAGCGUUUUCUAACGACGCGUCCCAAGCAAUUUCCAUUCUUGAAAAGAAAGAACGCUUGACGGUGGCCAAGCUCCUUGUCGAAUCUAAGCAAAAAGCGAACGUGGGAAUAUCUGGAGAGUGCUGCUAUGGGAACACCAGGUCAAGAAAGAAUUCAGCUUUCUUCUACUGGAUUAUGCAUUGCAGUGUAAAAUUGCUGGUCCUGAUCUGUUGGCUUUAAAACAGGUGUGACGAUAAAUCAGCGGAGGCGGAGAGAAGAAGGCUGUCCCGGGGAAAUGCAUUCGGAAGCAGUGAAGUCAUGCAUGCUCUGUGAAAGUGGAGACGCCCCUGGUCUUUCUGCAGCCUGAGAAAUGGCAUCGCCCCUCUUUCCUUGGCACCAGAGGCUAUCCAUGAUGAUGUU